AGUGAACGCUGGCGGCGUGCUUAACACAUGCAAGUCGAACGAGAACGGGUUAUAGCUUGCUAUAAUUGUCAGCUAAGUGGCGCACGGGUGAGUAAUGUAUAGGUAAUAUGCCUCUUACUAAGGGAUAACAAAUGGAAACGUUUGCUAAUACCUUAUACUCCUUAUUAACAGAAGUUAAUAAGGGAAAGAUUUAUUGGUAAGAGAUUAGCCUGUAUUGUAUCAGUUAGUUGGUGGGGUAAUGGCUUACCAAGACUAUGACACAUAACUGGUUUGAGAGGAUGAUCAGUCACACUGGAACUGGAACACGGGCCAGACUCAUACGGGAGGCAGCAGUGGGGAAUAUUGCACAAUGGACGAAAGUCUGAUGCAGCAACGCCGCGUGGAGGAUGACACAUUUCGGUGCGUAAACUCCUUUUAUAUGAGAAGAUAAUGACGGUAUUAUAUGAAUAAGCACCGGCUAACUCCGUGCCAGCCGCCGCGGUAA
rnacentral:rRNA from 1 species